rnacentral:rRNA from 1 species
GCUAAAAAUCUAGCCCCACUAACCUCUCAUGCCCUAUAACUUAACACCACAAACAAAAACAUUUUAUCCUUUCAGUAAAGGCGAUUGAAAAAAUUAUUGAAGCUACAGCAAUAGUACCGCAAGGAAAAGAUGAAAUAAUAAAUGAAACAAAUUUUAAGCAUAAAAAAGCAGAGCCACACCCUCGUACCUUUUGCAUCAUGAUCUACCUAGUUUAAUCAAGCGAAAAGAACUUCAGUUUGACACCCCGAAACUAGACGAGCUACUUCGAGGCAGCCUAACGAGCCAACCCGUCUCUGUUGCAAAAGAGUGGGAAGACCCCCAAGUAGCGGCGAUAAACCUAACGAGUCUAGUGAUAGCUGGUUACUUAAGAAAAGGAUUUUAGUCCAACCUAAAGCAUAUUAAAUUAAAAUAAAUAACGCCCAUGCUUUAGCGCCAUUCAAACGAGGUACAGCCCGCUUGAAAUAAGGAUACAACCUACACUAAUGGGUAACUCUUAUACUUUUUUAAAUAAGUGGGCCUAAAAGCAGCCACCUUUAAGAUAGCGUCAAAGCUUUACUAUAAAAAACUUUAAUACCAUCAAUCUUCAUGAACCCUUAAGCUACAUUAAGUUGUUCUAUACACUUAUAGAAGCAUUUAUGUUAGAACUAGUAAUAAGAAGAGAGACCUUCUCUUAAAUGUAUGUGUAAAUCAGAAAGGACAAACCACUGAUAAUUAAUCACCAAUGAAAACUAAACAGCAACUUCACUAGAAAACUCUGUUUUCCCUAAUGUUAAUCUUACACUAGCACAUUACAAGAAAGAUUAAAAGAAAAAGAAGGAACUCGGCAAACAUUAACCCCGCCUGUUUACCAAAAACAUCGCCUCUUGUCCCACAUAAGAGGUCCAGCCUGCCCAGUGACUAAAUUCAACGGCCGCGGUAUCCUAACCGUGCGAAGGUAGCGUAAUCACUUGUUCUUUAAAUAAGGACUAGUAUGAAUGGCACCACGAGGGUUAUACUGUCUCCUUUUUCUAAUCAAUGAAACUGAUCUCCCCGUGAAGAAGCGGGGAUUAACACAUAAGACGAGAAGACCCUAUGGAGCUUCAAACAAAAACGGCAUUGACCCUACAUACAUCUUUAAUAUUAUGCUUACACUGGCCAAAAUGACCGUUAGUUUUGGGUUGGGGUGACCGCGGAGCAUAAACUAACCUCCACGUUGAACGGAACUUCCCUUAACCAAAAGUUACGACUUUAAGUAACAUUAAAAUGACAUCUAUUGACCCAAUAUUUUGAUCAACGAACCAAGUUACCCUAGGGAUAACAGCGCAAUCCAUUUCAAGAGCCCCUAUCGACAAAUGGGUUUACGACCUCGAUGUUGGAUCAGGGUACCCCAGUGGUGCAGCCGCUACUAAAGGUUCGUUUGUUCAACGAUUAAAACCCU